CUCCCCCACCCCGCCUGCUUGGCGCGGCGGCGGCGGCGGCAGCCCGUGCUCCUGCCCCUCCGCCACCUCCCCCGCAGCCUCUUCCCCGGCCGGCGGCGUUGGCGGGGAGGG
rnacentral:miRNA from 1 species